UAGCAUUGGAAUAUUAAAUUGUGCCAAUCCAUUCAUCACCUUCCACCUUUAACUCCACCAAUCAAAUCUUUUAUGAGGAUUUUUUUCCCCAAAUCUCUUCAACUCAUCAUAAAUUUUCUUUAAUGCACAAUUUGAAAUCUACCCUACUAAUUUGAAAUUCACGCUAUUCUCUGUAUAGAUUCACUCAAAAAAUUUAUGAAUCUGAGUAUAAAUAGUCAUUCAGAUAGAUCUUUAUCUCAAUCUUCUUUCAUGCUUUCAAUUUGAAGAAUGACUGUAAAAAGCUACCUCAUGGAAGUUCUUCUAUUCCUCUUUUCAAUUGUUAGGUUUUUCAAUCAUUAUUGGUUUUUUCUACGAUUUAUAAUUGAGAAGUUUUGGUGUUUAUUUUUCAUGCCCUUUUUUUUUAUAUCUGAUACUAAUGUAUAUUGUAGCUAAUUGGGUCUGAUUUUGGCUUCCAGAUGUAAUAUGCAUCCUUAGGAGUUGGGACGGAGAGAGAUUUGAUUGGAAAUUACGAAGUGAAAAACUGCCAAGGCUGAUUCUAAGGUCUUUCUCAUCCAAGUACUGAAGGAGAAAUGGUUAUUGAAAGCGACAAGGGGAACUGAGGAAUGGGAAGUAUGUUGGAGAGCAUUUUAGUAGCGCAAGCAAGGUUCCUGUUCACAUCAUGUUUUGUGGUAUAUCCUACUCUAACAUGUCUAUCAAUCUUUUUUUUAGGGGAACAUAUCUAGGGAUGCCAAUUUUGCCCAAACCCAUGGGUACCCGCCCGAACCCGAUCCGAUUUGAUGGGCAAAAUCCGAGUUGACUGAAUUUGGGUUUGAGUUUGGGUUUUGCCCGUUACUGUAGCCAUGUAUGGAUUUGGGUUUGGUAUUAGUUAAAUCUGUGCCCAUACCCGCCCAAACCCGAACCCAAAGAUACCCGAAACAUAAAAUUACAAAAAAACCCUCAUACAUAUAUAUAUUUAUAAACUUUGUUCUUAGUGUUUGAUGAUUAA